rnacentral:rRNA from 1 species
UGAAAUGUUGGGUUAAGUCCCGCAACGAGCGCAACCCUUAUCCUUUGUUGCCAGCGGUCCGGCCGGGAACUCAAAGGAGACUGCCAGUGAUAAACUGGAGGAAGGUGGGGAUGACGUCAAGUCAUCAUGGCCCUUACGACCAGGGCUACACACGUGCUACAAUGGCGCAUACAAAGAGAAGCGACCUCGCGAGAGCAAGCGGACCUCAUAAAGUGCGUCGUAGUCCGGAUUGGAGUCUGCAACUCGACUCCAUGAAGUCGGAAUCGCUAGUAAUCGUGGAUCAGAAUGCCACGGUGAAUACGUUCCCGGGCCUUGUACACACCGCCCGUCACACCAUGGGAGUGGGUUGCAAAAGAAGUAGGUAGCUUAACCUUCGGGAGGGCGCUUACCACUUUGUGAUUCAUGACUGGGGUGAAGUCGUAACAAGGUAACCGUAGGGGAACCUG